GACGAGCGCUGGCGGCGUGCUUAACACAUGCAAGUCGAACGGAAAGGCCCUGCUUUUGUGGGGUGCUCGAGUGGCGAACGGGUGAGUAACACGUGAGUAACCUGCCCUUGACUUUGGGAUAACUUCAGGAAACUGGGGCUAAUACCGGAUAGGAGCUCCUGCUGCAUGGUGGGGGUUGGAAAGUUUCGGCGGUUGGGGAUGGACUCGCGGCUUAUCAGCUUGUUGGUGGGGUAGUGGCUUACCAAGGCUUUGACGGGUAGCCGGCCUGAGAGGGUGACCGGCCACAUUGGGACUGAGAUACGGCCCAGACUCCUACGGGAGGCAGCAGUGGGGAAUAUUGCACAGUGGGCGGAAGCCUGAUGCAGCAACGCCGCGUGCGGGAUGACGGCCUUCGGGUUGUAAACCGCUUUCGCCUGUGACGAAGCGUGAGUGACGGUAAUGGGUAAAGAAGCACCGGCUAACUACGUG
rnacentral:rRNA from 1 species